rnacentral:rRNA from 1 species
GACAGAGGGUGCAAACGUUGUUCGGAUUUACUGGGCGUAAAGCGCGUGUAGGCGGCUUGGCAAGUUGAAUGUGAAAGCCCACGGCUCAACCGUGGAAGCGCAUCCAAAACUGCUUCGCUCGAGUCUCGGAGAGGAAGGUGGAAUGCUUGGUGUAGAGGUGAAAUUCGUAGAUAUCAAGCAGAACACCUGCGGCGAAGGCGGCCUCUGGACGAUGACUGACGCUGAGACGCGAAAGCGUGGGGGGCAAACAGG